rnacentral:rRNA from 1 species
AGCCAGACUCCUACGGGAGGCAGCAGUGGGGAAUAUUGCACAAUGGGGGAAACCCUGAUGCAGCGACGCCGCGUGAGUGAAGAAGUAUUUCGGUAUGUAAAGCUCUAUCAGCAGGGAAGAAAAUGACGGUACCUGAUUAAGAAGCCCCGGCUAACUACGUGCCAGCAGCCGCGGUAAUACGUAGGGGGCAAGCGUUAUCCGGAUUUACUGGGUGUAAAGGGAGCGUAGACGGUGAUGCAAGUCAGAAGUGAAAGCCCGGGGCUCAACUCCGGGACUGCUUUUGAAACUGUGUAACUGGAGUGCAGGAGAGGUAAGCGGAAUUCCUGGUGUAGCGGUGAAAUGCGUAGAUAUCAGGAGGAACACCAGUGGCGAAGGCGGCUUACUGGACUGUAACUGACGUUGAGGCUCGAAAGCGUGGGGAGCAAACAGGAUUAGAUACCCUAGUACA